ensembl:snoRNA small nucleolar RNA SNORD113/SNORD114 family
UGGACCAAUGAUGAGUAUCCUGGGGUGUCUGAAUCAAGUGUUCUGGUUAAACUCUAUAACUCCGAGGUUCAU